rnacentral:rRNA from 1 species
UACGUAGGGUGCAAGCGUUGUCCGGAAUUAUUGGGCGUAAAGAGCUCGUAGGCGGUUUGUCGCGUCUGCUGUGAAAAACCCCGAGGCUCAACCUCGGGCCUGCAGUGGGGUACGGGCAGACUAGAGUGCGGGUAGGGGGAGAUUUGGAAUUCCUGGUGUAGCGGUGGAAUGCGCAGAUAUCGGGAGGAACACCUGUGGCGAAAGCGGCUCACUGGACCACAACUGACGCUGAGGCGCGAAAAGCUAGGGGGGAGCA